UACGUAGGGACCAAGCGUUGUUCGGAUUUACUGGGCGUAAAGGGCGCGUAGGCGGCGUGGUAAGUCAGCUGUGAAAUCUCCGAGCUUAACUCGGAACGGUCAGCUGAUACUGCUGUGCUAGAGUACAGAAGGGGCAAUCGGAAUUCUUGGUGUAGCGGUGAAAUGCGUAGAUAUCAAGAGGAACACCUGAGGUGAAGACGGGUUGCUGGGCUGAUACUGACGCUGAAGCGCGAAAGCUAGGGUAGCAAACGGGG
rnacentral:rRNA from 1 species